rnacentral:misc_RNA from 1 species
GAUGAAGAACGCAGCGAAAUGCGAUAAGUAAUGUGAAUUGCAGAAUUCAGUGAAUGAUCGAAUCUUUGAACGCACAUUGCGCCCGUCAGUAUUCUGGCGGGCAUGCCUGUUCGAGCGUCAUUACGCCCCUCAAGUCCCCUGUGGACUUGGUGUUGGGGAUCGGCGAGGCUGGUUUUCCAGCACAGCCGUCCCUUAAAUUAAUUGGCGGUCUCGCCGUGGCCCUCCUCUGCGCAGUAGUAAAACACUCGCAACAGGAGCCCGGCGCGGUCCACUGCCGUAAAACCCCCCAACUUUUUAUAGUUGACCUCGAAUCAGGUAGGACUACCCGCUGAACUUAAGCAUAUCAAUAAGCGGAGGA